GUAUCAUGGCUCAGGACGAACGCUGGCGGCGUGCCUAAUACAUGCAAGUCGAGCGAAGUUUUUUCUUGGUGCUUGCACUAGAAAAACUUAGCGGCGAACGGGUGAGUAACACGUAAAGAACCUGCCUCAUAGACGGGGACAACUAUUGGAAACGAUAGCUAAUACCGGAUAACAGCAUAAAUCGCAUGAUAUAUGUUUAAAAGUUUGGUUUCGGCUAACACUAUGAGAUGGCUUUGCGGUGCA
rnacentral:rRNA from 1 species